AAGGAUAACUAAAGAGAGUGGGACCGCUCAGGAAUAAAAGAGGUUAACUGUGUGGAGCCACAGUGGAUGGGAAAGGUCCUCAAUGAGUAUUUCCCCUCUGUUUUUACCGUGGAGUAAGACAGGAGAUCUUGAGUUAGUCACUGUAAUUGUCUUGAGACCACUCAGUAUUACAGUCAAAGAGGUGCUGACACGUAUGAAGAUAGACAAAUCUCCUGGGCCUGAUCAGAUAUACCCGAGGACACUGGGAAGCAAAAGAGGAAAUUGCAGGAGCCCUCGCACAGAUUUAUGAGUUGUUAAAUACAGGUGAGGUGCCGGAAGACUGGUAGGAGGGAAAUA